ACCUUUAAUCCAUGUUUAUGAUAGGGAAUUAGCUCAAAUGGUAGAGCGCUUGCUUAGCAUGCGAGAGGUAGCGGGAUCAAUGCCCGCAUUCUCCAGAGGACUUUAGAUUCUU